AAAUUGAAGAGUUUGAUCAUGGCUCAGAUUGAACGCUGGCGGCAGGCCUAACACAUGCAAGUCGAACGGUAACAGGAAGCAGCUUGCUGUUUCGCUGACGAGUGGCGGACGGGUGAGUAAUGUCUGGGAAACUGCCUGAUGGAGGGGGAUAACUACUGGAAACGGUAGCUAAUACCGCAUAACGUCGCAAGACCAAAGAGGGGGACCUUCGGGCCUCUUGCCAUCGGAUGUGCCCAGAUGGGAUUAGCUUGUUGGUGGGGUAACGGCUCACCAAGGCGACGAUCCCUAGCUGGUCUGAGAGGAUGACCAGCCACACUGGAACUGAGACACGGUCCAGACUCCUACGGGAGGCAGCAGUGGGGAAUAUUGCACAAUGGGCGCAAGCCUGAUGCAGCCAUGCCGCGUGUAUGAAGAAGGCCUUCGGGUUGUAAAGUACUUUCAGCGGGGAGGAAGGGAGUAAAGUUAAUACCUUU
rnacentral:rRNA from 3 species